UUUAUAAAUUAUAAAACGAUAUAUACAUAUGUUACAAACAAAGGAGGAAAUAUGACUAAAGUUGUUAAUUUUAUUUAUAGUAUGAUUAUCUUUCUUUUUCUAUUUCCGGUUGCAACGAAGACCCAAUUUCUCCCAAAUUAUUAUGAAUUUUAUCACUGUUAUAAUCAUUCUGAUUGUCAAGGAAGUAUGUGCCCAACUGGUAGCAAACCAAAGUGUGUAGAUCAAGUGUGUGAAUGUAUUCUGAUAAGGAUGUGAAUAUAUCAUGUGCUAACAUGAUUCAUCAUUAGGUUCCACACCGAAGAUAGUACACAAAUGCUCUGCUGCAAUAUUCCAUAAGCUGUUGUUUAGUUAUUUUCUCGCCACCAAAUAAAUUGAUUUUUUUCCUUAUAUAUUUUCAAGAACUUUUUAGUUAUAUAUUUGUACUCUAAAAUAUUGAUAAUGAAAUGAAUUAAGAUAGAAACAAAUAUUAAUGAAAUAAUAAUUCUCUAGUGAGGUUACAUUCUCGAAGUCA